GCAGCUCCGCUAACACCUCCCUCACCCUCUGCGGAGCAAAAGAUGGUGAAAGUCCACACCGUGAGGCUGCCUGAGGGUUUGUCAGUCUGUACCUACUUAAAGGACAUGGAGAAAGAGCAAUGGACAGCUAUUUCUCAAGGAACCAUUGGCCCUGUUACAAGGGUCGCGGUCCUCAAAGUAUGCAAAAGCAUAGUACAGGUGGUGUCCUUGAGUGCCAUCAAGGUUGUUAUUCCAGCUGUUAUGAGACUGGCGAUACGAGACCCAGAGACUCCACUGGCGUCAGGUGCAGUGGACGAAC